UACGGAGGGUGCGAGCGUUGUCCGGAAUCACUGGGCGUAAAGGGCGCGUAGGCGGCCUGGUAAGUAGGAGGUGAAAUCCUGCGGCUUAACCGCAGGGCUGCCUUCUAAACUGUCAGGCUGGAGCACAGUAGAGGCAGGUGGAAUUCCCGGUGUAGCGGUGGAAUGCGUAGAGAUCGGGAAGAACAUCAGUGGCGAAGGCGGCCUGCUGGGCUGUUGCUGACGCUGAGGCGCGACAGCGUGGGGGAGCAAACAGG
rnacentral:rRNA from 1 species